rnacentral:ncRNA from 1 species
GAAAAUGCGUUGAAGAGAAAAGUAAAUCGAGUUCGUUUUUAUACAGAGAACCUUGUAAGCUGAGAAAAGGUAAAAGACACUCGAUUGAAAAUGGUCUCUGAGCUUCGUCCUGAACGUGUGGAUUCACAAGUAGGAGGCGACGGGAUUUGGCAUCCGUUAUCCAUGUCACGGUAUUCGUGUAUAGCAUGAUACACAGUACUUGUAGAGGCAUCUGAUGUGAAUCAGAUUGCGAAUUAAGGUGGUACCGCGAGAAUUCAAACCUCGCCCUUAAC